rnacentral:lncRNA from 1 species
AUGAAGCAUUUUUUCCUUUUGCUGCUUUUCCUGACUCUGCUGGGAUUUGGCUCUAUACAGGUCACGGGGACAACCACUGCAUCAAGAGGAUCCAGUACUACCACUACUUACAGUAAAUCUAACACCAACAGUAGCUCUGGCAGCAGCACCCAGGCUUCCACCAGCACGACGACCACAGUCGCAGGGGCAUCGUCAACCAAGGUCAUGGGGACAACCACUGCAUCAACAGGAUCCAGUACUACCACUACUUACAGUAAACUUUACACCAACAGUAGCUCUGGCAGCAGCACCCAGGCUUCCACCAACAUGACGACCACAGUCGCAGGGGCAUCGUCAACCAAGAGCAUGGGGACAACCACUGCAUCAACAGGAUUGAGUACUAACACUACUCAUAAUCAGACCAGCAACAGCGGCUCUGGCAGUGGCACCCAGAGUGGAGAGAGCCACAUCGCCACCUCUGUGUCUCUGCUGUUGGGAUCUUUUGCUUUUCAAGCCAUUGUGUAG